CUUCAAUCAGCCAGCCCUCCAAAGAGAGCUUUGCCCAGGUUUGCCAUUUUACUCCAUGUGAUAUAAGGAUACAAGAAGACCAGCACUUCAGUUUGGCUGCAGUUCUUUCCUUUGUGCAGCAUGGAAAUAACCCACAGAUUCAACAACAUGGCCAGGAAGAAAUCUUAUCUCAGAUUCUCUUCACCCAGCAAUAAAUCUUCUGUAAUGCAUUUUAUACAUUUUAAAACAAAGCACAGGCUACAGAUAAAUAUGAAUUAUUUUAAACAAAUACUGUAAAUAUGGUUAUCUUUGGAAAUCCUCCUUUAUCCAUCCUCAACUGAUGUAAAAAUGAUGUUUGAAUUAUAUAGAACCAGUAGUAAGUAAAUGACUUCUAAAACAGUGAGAUAUUGAAGUUAUUGUUACCACACUAUAAAAAAUGUAUGUUUAUCUUAUGUGAUGCUUAUGCUGUAAGCUUCUUUUUCUAUGAGUGAAAGCUGAGUGACAGUGAUGAUAGUAUAAUUUAGUGUGGGGAAAGAACCUCUCACCUUUUUCUUGUUCAGUAUCCGAUGCUGUGCCUUUUGCUUUCGAAAGAGUACAAAGAGCACACAAAAAUAACGGUGCUCUAACCCUUACUUAUCACUGUCAUGUCUCUCAAAAUAACAGACUUAUAUUGACCCCUUCCUAGUACUUUAUAAGCUUUUAGCAGUGCUGUUAAAUAUUACAUUCAAUUAAAGCCACAGCAAGUCUUUUACAUACAGUACUAGGCAGGGUAUUUUUAUUAGUUUGACACGCUUCAUAAUUUAUUGAUUGUAUGCCUUGUACAACCUCAGAGAAGAGGCAAUUUAAUAUAACUUACAAACAUAUAUGUAUAUUCUAAUGGCUUCAUCUAUGAAUUGGCUUCAUAUCUCU
rnacentral:lncRNA from 1 species